rnacentral:tRNA from 1 species
ACCUGGAUGGCUCAGUCAGUAUAGUGUGUGACUCCUGAUCUCAAGGUCGUGAGUUUGAGCCCCACGUUAGGUG